GCUAGCAGCCAUAUCACCCUGCACAACCCACUGAAGCUCAGCAGGUGUGAGCCUGGUCAGUACCUGGAUGGGAGACCUCCAUAGAAAGCUAAGGCUGCUGCUGGAA
rnacentral:rRNA from 1 species